GGGCACUUGGUGUAGAUGGUUAUCACGCUCGCUUAGCAUGUUUCAGUUUGCGAGAGGGGACCGGUUCAAUUCCGGUAGUGUCCA